GAUGAACGCUGACAGAAUGCUUAACACAUGCAAGUCUACUUGAUUCUACUUCGGUAGUUGAUGGUGGCGGACGGGUGAGUAACGCGUAAAGAAUCUGCCCUUUAGUUUGGGAUAACCUUUGGAAACGAAGGCUAAUACCGGAUAUUAUGGAGACGUCGCAUGACGACUCCAUGAAAGCUAUAUGCGCUAGAGGAGGACUUUGCGUCCCAUUAGUUAGCUGGUGAGGUAAUGGCUCACCAAGACCGCGAUGGGUAGCCGGCCUGAGAGGGUGAUCGGCCACAAGGGAACUGAGACACGGUCCUUACUCCUACGGGAGGCAGCAGUGGGGAAUAUUGGACAAUGGCCACAAGCCUGAUCCAGCAAUUCUGUGUGCGCGAUGAAGGUCUUCGGAUUGUAAAGUGCUUUCAGUAGGGAAGAAAAAAAUGACGGUACCUACAGAAGAAGCGACGGCUAAAUAUGUGCCAGCCGCCGCCGUAA
rnacentral:rRNA from 1 species